ACCUUUUUUUAGUUCAUGAACAUGAUGACUGAGUGUUCACACUCUUGUGUGAGAUGUGCCAACCUUGAACCUUGUUAUAACACUGGCACAUUACUCAUCUGAUC
ensembl:snoRNA